AAGCAAAUGAAAUAAGGAUGUAGCAUGAAUGCAAUAUUAUUACAGCUGUACAAACCACUGAGCAAACACAUUGAUUCAUUCUAAAGAAACCACAUUAAUAAAACCUAUAAAAUUUUCAUAAGCAGGGAUUGGAGACUGGACUUCUUCCUUGUGAGUGAGGAAUUCUCAGUAAGUGCAGGUCAUAAUCUUGUCUUGAAUAAGUCCCUGUCCUUUGUACA
rnacentral:ncRNA from 1 species